GGUUUGUGGCUCCAUGGUAGAGUGCUUGCCUAGAAUGUGUGAGGUCCUGGGUUCGAUUCUCAGCACCG
rnacentral:tRNA from 1 species